rnacentral:lncRNA from 1 species
AUAUCUAUAUCCUAAUUAAAUGGCGUAUAUUUAUUUGUGAUUAGGGUGAGUAUUUAGGCAAAGAAAAGUGGAUGAUUUGCAUGUGCAAUCGUGAUAAAUUGAAGGACCAACAAUUGAAAAUUAAUGGUGAAACUGCAUACGUGUAUAUUGCACAUCACCUGCAACACCAACAAGAAUUAUACACCCAUGACACAUCAACACACAACACGAACAAGGUUCAGCUCAAGCGAACAAAAAUAACAAACCAUGUGCAGCAAAGCAUCCAACUCCUUUUAUUUUGCACACACUACUGAAGACCCAACCUUUCGUACCGGUCCCACACUGCUG